rnacentral:piRNA from 1 species
UCAGUCUAUUGGUCAAUGUUAUUCUACAAAC